AUCUGGCCGGCGGAAUUCAGGAUGGCGAGCGUGUCUUCGCGGGCACGCUGGUCGUUUGAUAUUUCCGUCGCCGAUGCGAAAGCGCAGACGUCGCGACCUGUUCGCGGUCGGUCCCUGCUCGGAGGAGCCGCGUUCGAGCUCGUUGUGGGCGCGUUUCGGCGCGUCACACGGCGAAGGCGCGGAUCUCUGGCCGGCCGUCGGACAGUAGGUUCAGCGGUGUCCGGUGCCGCGGUCUUGUGGGCGCGCGCAUCCGGUACCGGUCGGCGACGAUUUCUUCGGGCCUCUUUCCGACCCGUCUUGAAACACGGACCAAGGAGUCUAACAUGCGCGCGAGUCGCGGGGUGUCGAGCGUACUACGGUGCGUUCGUUACGUUUGCGAAACCCGUACAUGUCGAAGGCGUAAUGAAAGUGAAUGGGGAAGAUGGUGUUCCGAGUACACGUUCCGCGGUCAUUGGUACCGCGGCCGGACACCCGCAUUCCCGGGGCGUCUCAACGGCCCGUCGCGGAUGCGGACAGUCGUCUUUCGGGGCGGCUGUCGGUCUGCGACGAACCGA
rnacentral:rRNA from 1 species